rnacentral:tRNA from 1 species
GAGGGUAUAGCUCAGUGGAAGAGCACAUGCCUAGCAUGCACAAGGUCCUGGGUUCAAUCCCCAGUAUCUCUG